rnacentral:rRNA from 1 species
UACGGAGGUGGCAAGCGUUGCUCGGAAUCACUGGGCGUAAAGGGCGCGUAGGCGGGGAGGUAAGUCGGGUGUGAAAUCCCUCGGCCCAACCGAGGAACUGCGCCCGAGACUGCUUCUCUUGAGUCCCGGAGAGGAAGAUGGAAUUCCCGGUGUAGCGGUGAAAUGUGUAGAGAUCGGGAGGAACACCGGUGGCGAAGGCGGCUUCCUGGCCUGUAACUGACGCUGAGACGCGAAAGCGUGGGGAGCGAACCGG